rnacentral:rRNA from 1 species
AUUGAACGCUGGCGGCAUGCUUUACACAUGCAAGUCGAACGGCAGCGCGGGCUUCGGCCUGGCGGCGAGUGGCGAACGGGUGAGUAAUACAUCGGAACGUGCCCAGUAGUGGGGGAUAGCUCGGCGAAAGCCGGAUUAAUACCGCAUACGACCUGAGGGUGAAAGCGGGGGAUCUUCGGACCUCGCGCUAUUUGGGCGGCCGAUGGCAGAUUAGCUAGUUGGUGGGGUAAAGGCCUACCAAGGCGACGAUCUGUAGCUGGUCUGAGAGGACGACCAGCCACACUGGGACUGAGACACGGCCCAGACUCCUACGGGAGGCAGCAGUGGGGAAUUUUGGACAAUGGGCGAAAGCCUGAUCCAGCAAUGCCGCGUGUGUGAUGAAGGCCUUCGGGUUGUAAAGCACUUUUGGCGGGAACGAAAAGGACUGUGCCAAUACCACGGUUCGAUGACGGUACCCGAAGAAUAAGCACCGGCUAACUACGUG